UUCGAUUAAUCGAGAUAAUCGAUUAUUUGAUUGCGUUAGCCCUACGUUCAAAAAUAAAAUGUUAGUGCUGACCAACAGUCAGUUACCAAUAAACUUGAUCUCUAGAUUUUACUGACAAAUCUGGCAGAAAGCUCUAGAAAUAUUCCGUGGCCUACCUCUUGAUUUCGAUGUACGAAGCUGGUUCAUCGAACAAGCCUAGGAUCGAAUCUCUACUGCAAAUUCUGUGUUAAAUAGUGUAACACCUAAACUUUGCUUUUUCGCAGCAAAACAUAUUGUACAAUUUUACAACAUAUUAAAACUUUCUUCAAGAUACUUUUUGACUGUUCGGUUUGAAAUCACAUUAUUUAAUAUAUUUAAUAAUUCAAUUAGCCUAAUUCUUUAUGAAUUUUUGAGAAAGUAUUUUUCCGAUUCAUUUAAUUCUUCAGUUUUGCAAUUGUGCAUUUGUUUGCAAGUGAUUUUGCUGUACGAAAAACUUUACACUAGAUUUAAGUGAUCGAAUCCUACAUCCUAAACAUUAGGCAAACGAAUCAAUAAAUAGAAACCACCAUAUAAAUUUACUUGUUAACGUUUGAAAAGCGAGAAAAGAAACAUUUAACUCAAAAAUGCUAAACAUUCGAAUGACAAUGAAUGUCCCUACUCCCUAGACAUCCUGUGACGUGAGUAGGUGCCGUCAGUAGAACCAUGCAUCCUCUCCUAUCAAGUGUUAGAUUAGGAACAUUUCUAGUUGGGGUCUAGGGAGCCGAUUUCGCAGCUUUGUAAUCGUUUGACCGGCUUUGCUGAGUAGACUUCUGAAGGAACGGAUGUUCCUAGAACUGGCAUGUAUUUCAUCGGUAUUUUAUAAAGCGUUGGAAUCUGUCCUUGAAUUCGGUUCCAUACUAUAAUUGGGUCAACGCGAAUUCGUUCGGUUCUUGCAUGCGAAAAAGGGGGAAGAAAAUAUUCUAUCUCUGGCACUCACACAUAUUUUAACAAUCGCUUAUGUGCGUUUGCGUAAGUGCGAACAGCCCUUUAAAUCUUUUUUAACUUCGUAGUCGCGACGCACAGUGGCCGGAAGCCGGACAAAACUCAAGUUCUAAUUAUUGAUAUUUUAUAUUUUUUUAAAAGUUCUAAUGUAUUGAAAAACGUGUUUUUCAAAUAUCAAGGCAAUUGGAUUAUAUUUGAAUUUUUGAGAGCACUUCAAACGUUGUUAAGUCAUGUUAUUUUAAUGAUUUUUUUCGCUCAGAAAGCACAUAUUGGGGUUGACUUCGACUAGUAAAUACUCACCUAAUUCUUAUUCGAAUUCCAUGCGAUAGGUUGCAUUUUGAAGAUUAAUAAUCAGAAUUGUAUUUCGUGUUGAAUGUUUUUAUAUAAUUCAUCAUAACUUUUGUAAAAUGUUUGAAAUACCUAUUGAGUGGUCUGAAAAAGACUUUUUUUUUGCGCAAACGUGUGCUGUACGAUCUGACCCAUCGGUUCCCACAGUUCGCAUAGUAUGCAUUUCAUAGGAAAUUUUCUCUACUUUUCGAAUAUUAAGGUCCCAUUUUGCCCCUUUCUGCCCCGCUGAACAAAAAUUUUAAUUGAAAAUAAAAUAGUUUGAAUGAAGGCGCAUGGUGAUUUGUGAAAGUUACGUUGUUUUACAGAAGUAGUUAGUAGUUUCAUUCAAUUGUUCUAGAAGAACUUCAUUGCCUUACGUUCAGGUGUGCAAAGAAGGUAAAAUAACACAUAUAAUUAUAUUAAAUUGACAUGAAUAUUAAUUUUUCAAACCAUUGCAUUAGGUUUUAACAUUUUACUCGUCAUCGUCAGUAUCAUCAUGACUGAAAAUUAAUAAAUCUUCCACCUCUUAUGUGAAAGUGCUUUUCGAUUUGUUAUUGUGUCUAAAACUCGGAACUACCGGAUCUGACGCAAUUAGCAGCUCACGAAACAUGUCGCAUUUAUUUUCUCGUGUUUUCCGGAUUGCUUUAUUCAUGCAUUCCUGGGAUCCUUCCGAAAGUUUGUCAAUGAGACUCGAAGAUUAAACGAUUAUUUCACAUCCUUGAAUUAGUAAUUUGUGUACUGUUGUUGAACAUCCAUACAAUUUUACGUAGGUAAUAAUGAACGGUAGCGUUGGACUUAAAUUUUGAUGCAUCAAUUCUUUCACCACUCGAAAUCGUUGCUAGCAGCGUCUGAAAUCGCUAGAUUAAAUUAAUAUCGACUCCUGUUAUCUCCAAAGAAAAUUCUGCAUUGGAAAAAACGUCUUGCUGUAACACCGUUAUUGCUACUGCCGAAGCCAGCGUGCGGUUUGUCGACAUGUAGACCAAGUUUGACAAAAAAAUCUUCUUGAAUUCGCUGUUUGAUGCUAUUGAGCUGAUCGAUGUUACCUGUUUUUAAAUAUUGAGAAUAGGUAAUAUUUCCAUUUAAUUCUACUCCGAAAAUUUAUUAUGAAAUUUAAGUUCAAUAUUCAAUAUUAAAUUUAAAUUCAAUAUGAAAUCUGCUCUCUGAAAAAACUGCAAAUAUCGACAAAUCAAAAAAAGUCUGCACACGGAUUCUAAAAAUCUUCAUUUUCAGAUAAAUUUGCAUAUCUGGUAUCCCUGAUUACAAUAAUACGAUGGUGACACGUCACAAAUUAUUCACUAACGUAUAUAGACACUGUAUUUUUACUAGUAUGAAAACACAUGAACAACCCCCUUUUGACCAUGUUAAACGACAAAUUUUUACUUAGACUCAAGUUUUUUAAAUCUAUUAAAAUGGGACCAUUUUGCAUAUUUCAACAUAUAAUAUACUGUAUAGUUCGUUUCGAAUGCACAUUUCUCUUAAAAUAGUAUAGCGUGAAAAAGGCAGAACAGUUGAUUAAUGGCAGUGGGUUUUUUUAAAGACUGCUUAUUACACACAACAUUGAUCUUAUAUGAAUGAAUAAUUCUUUGUUUUCUACUCACGUAUUCUAGUUUAACGUAUUUAACAUUUUAUUUCCUAAAUUAAUGCGACGUAUUAAUUUAGCCAAAAUCGAUAUCUAUUUAAGUACUACAUGAUCGCCCCGCAUAAUCAAUAACCACAAAACGUGCUUAACCCUCUAGUGCCCAAGUUAAUUUCUAGACGGGCUUCGGUAAAAUCACUAUGAAUCAUUAUAAACACUUUUUAAGUAUUCAUUGAAGCUUUUUAGAGGUUCGACUGAAGCCCGCCAAAUGGCGGCAUUGGGCACUAGAGGGUUAACAACUAGUUCGGGAUAUAGUCACGACUGUUAAACCAUAUGGAUUAUCAUUCGUUCAUGGUUAUUGAUUAUGCCGAGCAGUUUUCCAACUGCGAAAUUUGGCACACGAUCUGCUGGUUCACAUUUUGACAGUUUAUACUGGUUUCCCAUAUUCGCUUCGCCAGAAAAUAGUCAGUUUUUAGUACUGACACCGUACACCGUAAUCAUUAUUAUUAUAUAUUUUAUAUUAUAUAUACUAUCCUCAGUUUCGCUGAUGACUACUGGAUCCUCGAACAUAACAAAAGAUGGGAGUAUGAAAAAUAAUGAUAUACAUAAAAACACUGCGACGUAAUUUUAGCCGUAAUUUUAACCGACGUAAUUUAGCCGUAAUUUUAGUAAUUUUAGUAAUUUAAUUUUUUUUUAUUUUUUUUUAUUUUUUUUUAGGGAGAUAUUUUUCCAACUUUUUGAAUUUUUGACACCAAAAUUGAAUUUUCCAGAAAAAAAUCAACCUGAUAUGGAUUUUCUGCUUUUUAAAUGAACAUUUUGGGUUUUGUCCGACUUUUGUUCGGAGACCCGCCACUGUGCGACGCCAAGAGUUUUGUUUGUGAACACGUAAAAAAAAAGUUUAGUUUUCGUUCGUGCGCGCAUUUUUAUAAUUUUGAAUGAAAUCUCGCCAAACAUGUGAAAAGGGCCCAUGUGCCAUAUGUAAACAAGCCAAAUUUUCUCGUUUUUUGAUCAAUACAAGCGAAAUCUGCUCUUACCAAUAAGAUUUAUUGAUAAAAGAAUUUACUCUUAAUCAAACAAUUUUAUUUGUACGAGUAGAUUAAGCUUGUGUUCAUUGAAAAUCGUGAAAUUGUGGCUUGUUUACAUAUGGCACUUGGGCCCUUUUCACAUGUUCAGCGGGAAAUAUCAACGUCGCAGCACUAAAUCGAAAUCGCGACUUCAAAUAUCCUUACGUGGGAUGUAAUGCGCUAUACAGCGCACUAUUUGCGACGUAAGGUACAAUGUAUAAUGUGCGGCAUGCGAGUAAAAUCAAUUGUCGCCAGUCGACAACUACAAUUUUCAACUAAAUGGAUUAUAUAAAAUAAGUGAGAACAGAGGUUUCGAAUCACCAAUUUUCCCAUUUUUGGACAAAGUUGAACUAUGAUCGAACAAUAAUCGGGGUCAACUAUUCGAUUAUUCAAUAAUCGAAAAGUCAGUUAUUCGAUUAAAAAUUAAUCGAAUAUUUCCGCAAAUAAUCGAUUAACUCGAUUAAUCGAGAAGUAAUCGGACAUCACUAGUCAUACCUACUUGGCAUAGUUAUUACAACGCGCUUGAAACCUCUGAUGUUGUGUUGUUAAAUCAGUGGAAUUGGACCCAGAAAGCGAUCGUCGAAAUUAUGGCUACAAGAAUGCUUACGACGAGGACGAAGAUCAUCAUCACGGCCCCGGGGUGCGAGUGCAGCAGUGUGCUUCCAGCUAAAUAUGCUCUCGCUAGAGAACAAAUAUCACCGUGUAUGGAAAAAGCACGAAAGAGUAGAUGAUGGUCGUAAACGUGUGCGCGCAUUAGAUGCUAAAUUAGAAACAUAGUUUUUUUCUUAACCAAAUCGCCGAAAACUCAUCACAUGCAGCAACAAUUCUCCCCACGUUUUUCAACAGAUUGGAAUACCAUGUAGAAGAUAGAGAAUGUUUUGUAUCAUUUUUACAUCUGAAUUGGUUUGACGCGGAUAAAUAAAUUGAAUUUAUUACAGUUGAAAAGCGGAAAUCAAUUUUUGUACAAUGUUUUCGUCGUUCAUUCCAAAUGAGCUUCGCAAAUUGAAUUCAUUACCUGUAAAUCUACAAUUAUGACAUAUUAAACGAAGCGAAUUUUAGCCUUUGUACUAUCAUAUUUCAAUACAAAUGUUUUCAUUUUACAAUAUUUCUUUCCUGCUACGUAUCAAAUUACUCAAUUUAACAAUGGAACCAAGUGAACCUAUGUUGAAAAUUUUCAAUUCAUGCUUAUGUUAUACAAAUAGUUCCCAACCAUGAGCAACGAUCGGAAAAUAGUGAACGUAAUAUGAUUGUACAUGAUAAGCAGUGUAAUCAACAAAAUUAAAAAAAUACAACUACUAGCUAAAGGCAUAUUUAAUGGAAAAACACCUUAUACCAUAAAAGUAUGGAACGAGUAAAUACUAUUUCAAAUGUUCCACCCUCAUUUGAACAGGAGCUAACGACAGAAAUAAUAUAUUUUAUGAUUGUCCACUUCCGUA